AGAGAUUCCUGCACCAUGAUUAACAGAUCCAACCAGCCUCGUAGUUCACCUCAGCAAAAUGGGGGAGUGAGGAUUUUUGUCUUUUUUUCUGUCCAAAUGGUGCAACAAGAAUGUUCCUCAGGAAUCUCUGUCUUGAGUAAUAAACUCCCUUCUUUUGAAAUCCCAGGCCUUGUGCCCAGAGUAGACAGAUUCCCUAAUAAAGAUGGAAGCGUCAACUCUGAAGCAAGGAUACUUGGUAAAAUGAUUUUAAAACUGACAAGAAAAAGCAGCUCGAAGUGGCCCAGCAAGUUCAGAGAAAGUCCGCGCUGGCGGGACGCACGGAGGCGGUGUGAUGAGCUGUGCGCUGCUGACACCACGCUGAGUGAACAGAGGAAGGCUCUUGCUGUGGGUCAAGACAGGCUGGAGCAGAAGCCUUGAAAGCAGAUAGGAAACCAACGCAGUGGUCUUUCGUGAUUGCUGGGAAACUGAAGUAAAAUACGGAAAGCUGACAGCAAGAGGGAAUACUUCUCCCCAGCCUGAGCCUUGUUGCACUUAAGGAGGUCCUCUCUUUCUUCCCUUCUUCAACAAUAAGGUAUUGCAUAUCUCUUUCCUUUCUAUUUCAGCAAUUAAACUUAUGUACAGCAAUGUCCGUAUCUUUAGCUGGG
rnacentral:lncRNA from 1 species